rnacentral:rRNA from 1 species
CAGUAGCCGCGGUAAUACGAGGGGGGCAAGCGUUGUUCGGAAUUAUUGGGCGUAAAGCGAGCGCAGGCGGUUAGAUAAGUCUGAAGUUAAAGGCUGUGGCUUAACCAUAGUACGCUUUGGAAACUGUUUAACUUGAGUGCAAGAGGGGAGAGUGGAAUUCCAUGUGUAGCGGUGAAAUGCGUAGAUAUAUGGAGGAACACCGGUGGCGAAAGCGGCUCUCUGGCUUGUAACUGGCGCUGAGGCUCGAAAGCGUGGGGAGCAAACAGAAUUAGAUACCCCAGUAGUCCCUGUCUCUUAUACC